GGCUGUGUGGUCUAGUGGUAUGAUUCUUGCUUCAGGUGUGAGAGGUUUCGUGUUCGAGUUUCACACAUGUUUCACACAGUUU
rnacentral:tRNA from 1 species